UACGUAGGUGGCAAGCGUUGUCCGGAUUUACUGGGCGUAAAGAGCGCGCAGGCGGUCGUGCAAGUCGCGUGUGAAAGCCCCCGGCUCAACUGGGGAGGGUCACGCGAUACUGCUCGACUUGAAGGCAGGAGAGGGAAGUGGAAUUCCCGGUGUAGUGGUGAAAUGCGUAGAUAUUGGGAGGAACACCAGUGGCGAAGGCGGCUCACUGGACCGGUUCUGACGCUGAGACGCGAAAGCGUGGGGAGCGAACAGG
rnacentral:rRNA from 1 species